rnacentral:rRNA from 1 species
UACGUAGGGCGCAAGCGUUGUCCGGAAUUAUUGGGCGUAAAGAGCUCGUAGGCGGUCCGUUACGUCGGGAGUGAAAACCCGGGGCUCAACCCCGGGCUUGCUUUCGAUACGGGCAGACUAGAGUAUGGCAGGGGAGACUGGAAUUCCUGGUGUAGCGGUGAAAUGCGCAGAUAUCAGGAGGAACACCGGUGGCGAAGGCGACUUACUGGACGAUUGUUGACGCUGAGGUGCGAAAGCGUGGGGAGCAAACAGG